rnacentral:rRNA from 1 species
UACGAAGGGGGCUAGCGUUGCUCGGAAUCACUGGGCGUAAAGGGUGCGUAGGCGGGUCUUUAAGUCAGGGGUGAAAUCCUAGAGCUCAACUCCAGAACUGCCUUUGAUACUGAAGAUCUUGAGUUCGGGAGAGGUGAGUGGAACUGCGAGUGUAGAGGUGAAAUUCGUAGAUAUUCGCAAGAACACCGGUGGCGAAGGCGGGUCUCUGGGCCGAUACUGACGCUGAGGAGCGAAAGCGUGGGGAGCGAACAGG